UAUAUGAGCAGGACUGCUGUGCUCUCAGGAGCACGGAGGCCUUCGUGCUCCUGAGCCAUUUUCGAUGAUAGAAUUUUCGAAUCGACGAUCGGCUCCGUUAGAAUAUUUGAAGUUUUUAGAAAAUAAUUUUUACGAUUUUUUGAUAUCAUUUACCUAGUGAUUGAUAAGCGUUAAAAAUCAAUAAGUUUUAAUUGUUGAUAUCUGCCGUUUUCAAGUUUAACGGUAUAGAAAUAUUCAAAUCAGAUAAAAUUUUGAUACAAAAUUCUUUAUACUAUCUACAACAAGAUCAAUAUUUCUGAUCGAAAAUUUUAAUGCUUUAUCACUAUUUUUUAUUAAUUUUUUAUUUUCAGCCGUUAAAAAUUAUUGAUUUUGAAUCCUUUUGAUUACUAGGUAAAUGAUAUCNUGAUCUGUAAGUUUGAUUUUAUUCUUAUUACAAAAUUAGUUAGAUAUUAAUCACAAUCAGAUUUUCGUUGCGGUAUUUGUUCUAACAAUCUAAGGCGUAUUUUCAAUUUGAUUGUUGUUAAAAUCUAACGGAUGUUAAUCUGUAUUAAAUUAAUUUUAUACGUAUAUAAUUUGUUUGUUAAUUUGUUUGUUGGCAUUUAAAUAUAAUUUUUUUUUGGGAUUAG
rnacentral:lncRNA from 1 species